rnacentral:rRNA from 1 species
CGGGGGCAAGAACAACAGGGAUUGCCCCAGUAACGGCGAGUGAAGCGGCAACAGCUCAAAUUUGAAAUCUGGCCUCCGGGUCCGAGUUGUAAUUUGUAGAGGAUGCUUUUGGCGAGGUGCCUUCCGAGUUCCCUGGAACGGGACGCCAUAGAGGGUGAGAGCCCCGUCUGGUCGGACACCGAGCCUCUGUAAAGCUCCUUCGACGAGUCGAGUAGUUUGGGAAUGCUGCUCAAAAUGGGAGGUAUAUGUCUUCUAAAGCUAAAUAUUGGCCAGAGACCGAUAGCGCACAAGUAGAGUGAUCGAAAGAUGAAAAGCACUUUGAAAAGAGGGUUAAAAAGUACGUGAAAUUGUUGAAAGGGAAGCGCCUAUGACCAGACUUGGGCCCGGUGAAUCAUCCAGCGUUCUCGCUGGUGCACUUUGCCGGGCACAGGCCAGCAUCAGUUUGGCGCGGGGGAAAAAGGUUUUGGGAAUGUGGCUCCCUCGGGAGUGUUAUAGCCCAUUGCGUAAUACCCUGCGCCGGACUGAGGUACGCGCAUCGCAAGGAUGCUGGCGUAAUGGUCAUCAGCGACCCGUCUUGAAACACGGACCAAGGAGUCGUCUUCGUAUGCGAGUGUUCGGGUGUCAAACCCCUACGCGUAAUGAAAGUGAACGCAGGUGAGAGCUUCGGCGCAUCAUCGACCGAUCCUGAUGUUCUCGGAUGGAUUUGAGUAAGAGCAUACGGGGCCGGACCCGAAAGAAGGUGAACUAUGCCUGUAUAGGGUGAAGCCAGAGGAAACUCUGGUGGAGGCUCGCAGCGGUUCUGACGUGCGAAUCGGUCGUCAAAUAUGGGCAUGGGGGCGAGAGACUAAUCGAACCUUCUAGUAGCUGGUUUCCGCCGAGGUCCCCCUCCGGGAAAGG